GGUUAAGCGACUAAGCGUACACGGUGGAUGCCCUGGCAGUCAGAGGCGAUGAAGGACGUGCUAAUCUGCGAUAAGCGUCGGUAAGGUGAUAUGAACCGUUAUAACCGGCGAUUUCCGAAUGGGGAAACCCAGUGUGUUUCGACACACUAUCAUUAACUGAAUCCAUAGGUUAAUGAGGCGAACCGGGGGAACUGAAACAUCUAAGUACCCCGAGGAAAAGAAAUCAACCGAGAUUCCCCCAGUAGCGGCGAGCGAACGGGGAGCAGCCCAGAGCCUGAAUCAGUGUGUGUGUUAGUGGAAGCGUCUGGAAAGGCGCGCGAUACAGGGUGACAGCCCCGUACACAAAAAUGCACAUGCUGUGAGCUCGAUGAGUAGGGCGGGACACGUGGUAUCCUGUCUGAAUAUGGGGGGACCAUCCUCCAAGGCUAAAUACUCCUGACUGACCGAUAGUGAACCAGUACCGUGAGGGAAAGGCGAAAAGAACCCCGGCGAGGGGAGUGAAAAAGAACCUGAAACCGUGUACGUACAAGCAGUGGGAGCACGCUUAGGCGUGUGACUGCGUACCUUUUGUAUAAUGGGUCAGCGACUUAUAUUCUGUAGCAAGGUUAACCGAAUAGGGGAGCCGAAGGGAAACCGAGUCUUAACUGGGCGUUAAGUUGCAGGGUAUAGACCCGAAACCCGGUGAUCUAGCCAUGGGCAGGUUGAAGGUUGGGUAACACUAACUGGAGGACCGAACCGACUAAUGUUGAAAAAUUAGCGGAUGACUUGUGGCUGGGGGUGAAAGGCCAAUCAAACCGGGAGAUAGCUGGUUCUCCCCGAAAGCUAUUUAGGUAGCGCCUCGUGAAUUCAUCUCCGGGGGUAGAGCACUGUUUCGGCAAGGGGGUCAUCCCGACUUACCAACCCGAUGCAAACUGCGAAUACCGGAGAAUGUUAUCACGGGAGACACACGGCGGGUGCUAACGUCCGUCGUGAAGAGGGAAACAACCCAGACCGCCAGCUAAGGUCCCAAAGUCAUGGUUAAGUGGGAAACGAUGUGGGAAGGCCCAGACAGCCAGGAUGUUGGCUUAGAAGCAGCCAUCAUUUAAAGAAAGCGUAAUAGCUCACUGGUCGAGUCGGCCUGCGCGGAAGAUGUAACGGGGCUAAACCAUGCACCGAAGCUGCGGCAGCGACGCUUAUGCGUUGUUGGGUAGGGGAGCGUUCUGUAAGCCUGCGAAGGUGUGCUGUGAGGCAUGCUGGAGGUAUCAGAAGUGCGAAUGCUGACAUAAGUAACGAUAAAGCGGGUGAAAAGCCCGCUCGCCGGAAGACCAAGGGUUCCUGUCCAACGUUAAUCGGGGCAGGGUGAGUCGACCCCUAAGGCGAGGCCGAAAGGCGUAGUCGAUGGGAAACAGGUUAAUAUUCCUGUACUUGGUGUUACUGCGAAGGGGGGACGGAGAAGGCUAUGUUGGCCGGGCGACGGUUGUCCCGGUUUAAGCGUGUAGGCUGGUUUUCCAGGCAAAUCCGGAAAAUCAAGGCUGAGGCGUGAUGACGAGGCACUACGGUGCUGAAGCAACAAAUGCCCUGCUUCCAGGAAAAGCCUCUAAGCAUCAGGUAACAUCAAAUCGUACCCCAAACCGACACAGGUGGUCAGGUAGAGAAUACCAAGGCGCUUGAGAGAACUCGGGUGAAGGAACUAGGCAAAAUGGUGCCGUAACUUCGGGAGAAGGCACGCUGAUAUGUAGGUGAGGUCCCUCGCGGAUGGAGCUGAAAUCAGUCGAAGAUACCAGCUGGCUGCAACUGUUUAUUAAAAACACAGCACUGUGCAAACACGAAAGUGGACGUAUACGGUGUGACGCCUGCCCGGUGCCGGGAGGUUAAUUGAUGGGGUUAGCGCAAGCGAAGCUCUUGAUCGAAGCCCCGGUAAACGGCGGCCGUAACUAUAACGGUCCUAAGGUAGCGAAAUUCCUUGUCGGGUAAGUUCCGACCUGCACGAAUGGCGUAAUGAUGGCCAGGCUGUCUCCACCCGAGACUCAGUGAAAUUGAACUCGCUGUGAAGAUGCAGUGUACCCGCGGCAAGACGGAAAGACCCCGUGAACCUUUACUAUAGCUUGACACUGAACAUUGAGCCUUGAUGUGUAGGAUAGGUGGGAGGCUUUGAAGUGUGGACGCCAGUCUGCAUGGAGCCGACCUUGAAAUACCACCCUUUAAUGUUUGAUGUUCUAACGUUGACCCGUAAUCCGGGUUGCGGACAGUGUCUGGUGGGUAGUUUGACUGGGGCGGUCUCCUCCUAAAGAGUAACGGAGGAGCACGAAGGUUGGCUAAUCCUGGUCGGACAUCAGGAGGUUAGUGCAAUGGCAUAAGCCAGCUUGACUGCGAGCGUGACGGCGCGAGCAGGUGCGAAAGCAGGUCAUAGUGAUCCGGUGGUUCUGAAUGGAAGGGCCAUCGCUCAACGGAUAAAAGGUACUCCGGGGAUAACAGGCUGAUACCGCCCAAGAGUUCAUAUCGACGGCGGUGUUUGGCACCUCGAUGUCGGCUCAUCACAUCCUGGGGCUGAAGUAGGUCCCAAGGGUAUGGCUGUUCGCCAUUUAAAGUGGUACGCGAGCUGGGUUUAGAACGUCGUGAGACAGUUCGGUCCCUAUCUGCCGUGGGCGCUGGAGAACUGAGGGGGGCUGCUCCUAGUACGAGAGGACCGGAGUGGACGCAUCACUGGUGUUCGGGUUGUCAUGCCAAUGGCACUGCCCGGUAGCUAAAUGCGGAAGAGAUAAGUGCUGAAAGCAUCUAAGCACGAAACUUGCCCCGAGAUGAGUUCUCCCUGACCCUUUAAGGGUCCUGAAGGAACGUUGAAGACGACGACGUUGAUAGGCCGGGUGUGUAAGCGCAGCGAUGCGUUGAGCUAACCGGUACUAAUGAACCGUGAGGCUUAACCUU
rnacentral:rRNA from 1 species